GAUGAACGCUGGCGGUAUGCUUAACACAUGCAAGUCGAACGGGAUAUCUUCGGAUAUUUAGUGGCGGACGGGUGAGUAACGCGUGAGAACAUGCCCUUAGGUUCGGGACAACAGUUGGAAACGACUGCUAAUACCGAAUGUGCCGAGAGGUGAAAGAUUAAUUGCCUAGGGAUUGGCUCGCGUCAGAUUAGCUAGUUGGUAGAGUAACGGUUUACCAAGGCGACGAUCGUAACUGGUCUGAGAGGAUGACCAGUCACACUGGGACUGAGACACGGCCCAGACUCCUACGGGAGGCAGCAGUGGGGAAUUUUCCGCAAUGGGCGAAAGCCUGACGGAGCAAUACCGCGUGAGGGAGGACGGCUCUUGGGUUGUAAACCUCUUUUAUCAGGGAAGAAGAUCUGACGGUACCUGAUGAAUCAGCAUC
rnacentral:rRNA from 1 species